rnacentral:rRNA from 1 species
CGCGAAUUCGCCCUUCGGGGUGCACCAGGCGCGAAAACUCUACAAUGUAGGAAACUGCGAUAGGGGAACAUCGAGUGAUCCUCAUAUUGGGGGUCUGUCCCACUGUCUAAAAAACUGUGGUAAUCAAAGGCCGGGCAAAACCGGUGCCACCCGCCGCGGUAAUACCGGCCGUUCAAGUGGUGGCCGAUAUUAUUGAGUCUAAAGGGUCCUUACUCGGUUUUGCAAUUCUCUCGUGAAAUCCACCGCCUUAACCUUUGAUCGUCCGGGAGGCUACUACAUUGCUUGGGACUGAUAGAGGAACGAGGUACUCAGGGGGUAGGAGUGAAAUCUUGUAAUCCUCCGGAGACCACCGGUGGAAAAGGCGUCCUACCAAAACACGUCCGACUGUGAGGGACAAAAUCUAGGGGCACAAACCAUAUUAUAUACCCGGGUACUCCUAUCCGUAAAAUAUGCUCUCUAUGUGUCACAACAGUCGUGAACUGUUGUGGUGCCGUAGGGAAGCCGUGAAUCGAGCCACUUGGGAAGUACGACCGCAAGGUUGAAACUUAAAGGAAUUGGCGGGGGAGCAC